rnacentral:rRNA from 1 species
UAGGGAAUAUUGGACAAUGGGCGCAAGCCUGAUCCAGCCAUACCGCGUGAGUGAAGAAGGCCUUCGGGUUGUAAAGCUCUUUCAGACGGAAAGAAACGGUCGCGGCUAAUACCCGUGACUAAUGACGGUACCGUAAGAAGAAGCACCGGCUAACUACGUGCCAGCAGCCGCGGUAAUACGUAGGGUGCGAGCGUUAAUCGGAAUUACUGGGCGUAAAGCGUGCGCAGGCGGUUUGGUAAGACAGAUGUGAAAUCCCCGGGCUUAACCUGGGAACUGCAUUUGUGACUGCCAGACUAGAGUGUAGCAGAGGGGGGUAGAAUUCCACGUGUAGCAGUGAAAUGCGUAGAUAUGUGGAGGAAUACCGAUGGCGAAGGCAGCCCCCUGGGCUAACACUGACGCUCAUGCACGAAAGCGUGGGGAGCAAACAGGAUUAGAUACCCCCGUAGUCCCUGAGCGGGCUGGCAAGGCGCAU